ACGACGGGUAGCCGGCCUGAGAGGGCGACCGGCCACACUGGGACUGAGACACGGCCCAGACUCCUACGGGAGGCAGCAGUGGGGAAUAUUGGGCAAUGGAGGAAACUCUGACCCAGCGACGCCGCGUGCGGGAUGAAGGCCUUCGGGUUGUAAACCGCUUUCAGCAGGGAAGAAGCGAAAGUGACGGUACCUGCAGAAGAAGCACCGGCUAACUAUGUGCCAGCAGCCGCGGUAAUACAUAGGGUGCAAGCGUUGUCCGGAAUUAUUGGGCGUAAAGAGCUCGUAGGUGGUUCGUCACGUCGGAUGUGAAACUCUGGGGCUUAACCCCAGACCUGCAUUCGAUACGGGCGAGCUUGAGUAUGGUAGGGGAGUCUGGAAUUCCUGGUGUAGCGGUGGAAUGCGCAGAUAUCAGG
rnacentral:rRNA from 1 species